GGGUUGCUAACUCAAUGGUAGAGUACUCGGCUUUUAACCGACUAGUUCCGGGUUCGAGUC
rnacentral:tRNA from 2 species